GACGAACGCUGGCGGCGCGCCUAACACAUGCAAGUCGAACGAGUGGAGGACCUUCGGGUUCGAAGCUAGUGGCGGACGGGUGAGUAACACGUGAGGAACCUGCCUUUCAGAGUGGGAUACCGUUUGGAAACGAACGUUAAUACCGCAUAACGUACGGAUGCCGCAUGACAACCGUACCAAAGAUUUAUCGCUGAGAGAUGGCCUCGCGUCUGAUUAGAUAGUUGGUGAGGUAACGGCCCACCAAGUCUACGAUCAGUAGCCGGACUGAGAGGUUGAUCGGCCACAUUGGGACUGAGACACGGCCCAGACUCCUACGGGAGGCAGCAGUGGGGGAUAUUGCACAAUGGGCGAAAGCCUGAUGCAGCGACGCCGCGUGAGGGAAGACGGUUUUCGGAUUGUAAACCUCUGUCUUCGGGGGCGAAAAUGACGGUACCCGAGGAGGAAGCCACGGCUAACUACGUG
rnacentral:rRNA from 1 species